UACGACUACAUAUCAGGCAUAUCAAUAAGCGGAGGAAAAGAAACUAACUAGGAUUCCCUCAGUAACGGCGAGUGAAGCGGGAAGAGCUCAAAUUUGAAAUCUUCAAGGUUUUACCUUGACGAAUUGUAGUUUAAAGAAGUGUUUUCGGUUAGAGGAGUAGUAAAAGUUCUUUGGAAUAGGACAUCAUAGAGGGUGAGAAUCCCGUAUUUGACUAUUCUUUCUAGCUUUGUGAUACACUUUCAAAGAGUCGGAUUGUUUGGGAAUGCAGUCCAAAAUGGGUGGUAAAUUUCAUCUAAAGCUAAAUAUUGGCGAGAGACCGAUAGCGAACAAGUACCGUGAGGGAAAGAUGAAAAGAACUUUGAAAAGAGAGUUAAACAGUACGUGAAAUUGUCAAAAGGGAAGCGUUUGACACCAGUGUUGUUUCUACGAAAAUCAAUUUAUGAUGGCUUGAUGCUAAGCUUUAAGACUUUAUCCGCUUGUUGUUUAGUUUUCUUGUCUUUGUGAAUGCACUUUUCGUGGAACAAGUCAACAUCAAUUUCUUUUGCUGUAAAAGGGUAAGAGGAAGGUGGCUUCGGCUUCGGUUGAAGUGUUUAUAGCCUUUUAUCUCUGCAGUCGGAGAGAUUGAGGUCUGCAGCGUAGACUCUUCGGGGUUAGAUACGUCGGUGCUAAGCUAUAGCUUUUCAUAGACAACUUGUUGACUAUGUUUAGUCAUGUGGCUUACCCGCUGGCGCUAUUUUACCUACGCUUAGGAUGUUGACUGAUAUGUAGUCGU
rnacentral:rRNA from 1 species